GUCCACGCCCUAAACGAUGAUGACUAGUUGUUGGAGGAGUUAAAUCCUUUAGUAACGCAGCUAACGCGAGAAGUCAUCCGCCUGGGGGAGUACGGUCGCAAGAUUAAAACUCAAAGGAAUUGACGGGGGCCCGCACAAGCGGUGGAUGAUGUGGUUUAAUUCGACGCAACGCGAAAAACCUUACCUACCCUUGACAUGUACGGAAUCCUGCAGAGAUGCAGGAGUGCCCGAAAGGGAGCCGUAACACAGGUGCUGCAUGGCUGUCGU
rnacentral:rRNA from 1 species